UUUCCGUAGGUGAACCUGCGGAAGGAUCAUUACUGAGAAAUUGCCCCUUGGGGUAGAUCUCCCACCCAUUGUUUACAUACCUUGUUGCUUUGGCAGUCCUUACCUUUGGUCUACUGGCCUCGGCUAGUUAGUGCCUGCCAGAGAACCAACACUCUGAAUCAUUUAUUGUCUGAUUACUAUAUAUAUAAUAGUUAAAACUUUCAACAACGGAUCUCUUGGUUCUG
rnacentral:misc_RNA from 1 species